GGUCUUCCUUGGUCUCUUGUGUUCUGGGGGCCUCUGGAUGUCUGGAGUUUUGAUCUCCUCCAUACCUGCUUGAUACCAUAAAGGACAGGGCUGUGGCUCCCCACAAUCCCUAGCAGAUCAUUACAUGGAGAAACCUUUGGAAUGCAAGCAUGCUGAUCCACACAGGUAUGCACACAGGUGUACACACGGGUAUUCACAGACGCGGACUACAGCUUUCUUGGCUGCUGCCUCAAAGCACACUGUGCGCUGUCUAUCUUGCGUGCUGCACAAUAUCGUUUAUUAUUUAGUAUCUACUGAUAUCUACUGCUAGCUAGUUUAUUGUGAUGGUGCUGUUUUUUUUAUUAUGUUGCUCUUUGUUGUUUGCUUUCUCUUCUGUUUUUUUUCUCCAUACAGGUGAUCCAGGUGCUUUGUUUGUUUUUUGUUUGUUUGUUUUUUUUUUCUUCCCCCCCUUCUCACCGUCUCUUCUCCCCUUUGGUUUUCUUUCUCUCCCUCUCUUUCUUUCAUGCUUUCUCCCUGUCCUAUCCCCCAGUCAUGUCUGUCCCGUUUGUAGCAACUGAAAAUAAAAUAAAUUCAUAAUUAUAAUAAAGGUCAAUCAAAUGGACCAAUAUGGCAAGGCCAUGAUGAUCCACUUGGUAAAAUAAAUCCGCUUGGCAUCUUUCUUGGCCUUAAGACAACAAUUCUGAUGGCUAAAGAUCCAAACGGGACACACACAAAAAAGAAAAAAAAAAAGAAAAUGAGUAAUUUUUACUUUUUUUUUGUGAGUACACAAUUGUUAAACCAACUUAAUAUGUUUACUAAUAAUUGAUCAGUUUAACUUAUUAGUCCCCACUUAUUCAGGGAGCUUUAGAUUUACACCAGCAUUUCUUUUCAGACACAGCAGACGAAGACAAUGUCAACAUCUGUAAUCAAUGGAAUGGUCAAAACAACAAAUGAGGGCUCUGUGUGCAGGCGGAUGGAGAGGAGGAUCCAAUUUCAAAACUCGG
ensembl:lncRNA